rnacentral:lncRNA from 1 species
GUUUUAAAAGUGAAUUAUUUUAACAAAAAUACUUACCAAACAAACAUACAUAUGCCAGAUAAUAGAGAAAAUCAAAUAAAUCAUGAAAUACUCAUAUUUUUGUGUCAUGUUUCACGAAGUCGUUACAACUUUUAUCUCUAAAGGCAUAUAUAGAUUUCGAACUACCCAUGUGGAAUGACAAGAUCAGAUACAGAUAACGACAAUUUGUCCAGGCACAAUUCCAGCUGGCCAAACCAUGGUACAAUCUACGACCACGACCGUACUAACCAUAAUGGUCCUAUCAAAUAUUACAGUCACAUAAUAGUUAACCAAAGGUGACCCCUAUCAGAUAUUCGCAUCACUACUCUUGUCAAAGGGUACAUUGUCAUCCACAAGGAGCGAUCCUCUUACGUCUUUCCAGACUAGAUGGAGGAGGGGGAUACAGAUAACCUAGAUGGGGUUAGGGGAAUAAAUAACCCAGAUGGGGUUAGGGGAACAGAUACCCUGGAUGGGCUGAGGGGAAUAGAUACCACACAGAGAUAAAAAGCCUAAUGGGACACUUGAUACAUUAUGCAUGUCAAUGCAGAUACAUACUUCGGACCAUUCAUUCUUCAUUCAACUUU